GAGAGAGUAACUCAGUUGGUUAGAGUGCUGGUCUGUCACGCCGGAAGUCGCGGGUUCAAGUCCCGUCUCUCUCG
rnacentral:tRNA from 1 species